UACGGAGGGGGGUAGCGUUGUUCGGAAUUACUGGGCGUAAAGCGCACGUAGGCGGUUUUGUAAGUUAGAGGGGAAAGCCUGGGGCUCAACUCCAGAAUAGCCUUUAAGACUGCAUCACUUGAACACGGGAGAGGUGAGUGGAAUUCCGAGUGUAGAGGUGAAAUUCGUAGAUAUCAGGGGGAUAACCAGCAGGCGUAAGCGGCUUUCCAUAAUGAUUCUGACGCUGAAGUUCUUAAGCGUGGGUCGCAAACGGG
rnacentral:rRNA from 1 species